rnacentral:rRNA from 1 species
UGCCAGCCGCCGCGGUAAUACAUACUGUGCAAACGUUAUUCGGAUUCACUGGGCUUAAAGGGUGCGUAGGUGGCUUGUUAAGUAGGGUGUGAAAGCCCCUGGCUCAACCAGGGAAUUGCACUCUAUACUGGCGAGCUUGAGUGAGAUAGGGGUGUCCGGAACUGCCAGUGGAGCGGUGAAAUGUGUUGAUAUUGGCAGGAACGCCGGUGGCGAAAGCGGGACACUGGGUCUCAACUGACACUGAGGCACGAAAGCCAGGGGAGCGAACGGGAUUAGAUA